rnacentral:lncRNA from 1 species
UACAAAAUUCAAAGAAAACAAGCUUGCAUUACAGUUUUAAGGAUCUUGGUGCAGCAGAUUCCACAACUCAUAAAUUAUAAUGUGUUUCUUUGCAGCACCCUCUCUACAUGUAGCUGACUUAAAAACGCAGUAAAGAGAAAGCAACAGUACCACUAGCUUUUGGUAGAAUGAGUGCUAUGCUACAGAUCUCUGCCUGCUUUUCAAACCAGUAAUCCAUCAAGGUCCAGGACAAAACAGUAACUGGUUCUGCUCAACUCAUCACUGAGCAAAUAUGUUAAUGUACGUCUCACUGGGUGUGGGUGCCAUUAUUGCACAGCCCGAAUAUUACAUGCAGUUUGUGUUUUGCCUUGUUCAAAAUGCAGACUGCCUCUGUUAGGAAGAGGCCAAAAAUACUAUCCCCUGCAAGCUGCUCAACUACAGAGUCCAAGAAAGCCUGCACCCUUCCUGAAUGACGGUUGACCUGCUGAAAGCUGUACUUCCGAGAAUACAAUAAUACCUGAACCCAAAAGAAGUUCAUCUAAAAGCACUUGAAUUAUUUAGGUUGUUCACCUACAGUGAAUUAUCAAAAUCUGUAAAUAAAAUAAUACUAGCACAUCUAAGGAAGGAUCUCUGUGGUAAAAGAAAGUGAAUAGACUUAGAAGUGUUACCCCAAAACAGUGUACUCAGAAAGCUCAACGGAAAGACCUACCAUUCUUUUUUUAAAAAUAUUUAGUUAUUCAUGAGAGACACACACAGAGAGAGAGAGAGAGAGAGGCAGAGACACAGGCAGAGGGAGAACCAGGCUCUUGUGAGGAGCCCAAUGUGGGACUCGAUCCCAGGACCCCAAGAUCAUGACCUACGCUGAAGGCAGAUGUUCAAUCCGAGCCACCCAAGUGCCCCAAGACCUACCAUUCUUGUAAAGUGCCCAACUCAUAUGAAAGCUCUAAAUAAAUGUUUAUUGAAGCUAAUUAAAAUCAAUAAACUUCUCUAAGGCUUAAGUCACUUAAAAUAAGUCAAAGAUUAUAAAUCAUCACUAUAAUGAAGCCCUUCUUUCAAUUAGGAUUCUUCUAUGGUGGAUGAGUUGGUGCUUCUGAUAAAUACAGUGUGUUAUGGCCAUGCUGGAGGGUUGCCCUGGCAGUGCCCAAGCUUUGGGGGUUUCUUUAUGGAGGUGCCACCAUGGCCCUGAGCUCAAGACUGAACUCUGCUCUUUCCUUCAUGGGGAGAAAUGAGUAGAUCCCUUUCUCCUGAGAGAGCUCUUUUGAGAAUCUUUAUUUUGUUGCUGCUUUCUUUUUCAUGUGUCAUAUAUGCCCACCUCAUUCCCUAAGAGAACUUGCAGCAUUUUAACAACCGAUCAUGAAAAAGACUAAAUCUGUUCUAAAAUGCUCCAAGAUAGAGAAUUUUUUGUAAUAUUAAAAUAUAUAAAACAGCUAAGUUAAAAACUAAAAUGGAUCAGAAACCACUUAGGAAGUAAUGAAGUCAAAAGAAGUAUGUGAAUCCAUAUGGAAAGACAACUCCACUGGUAAUAAACACUCAGAGGAGUUUUUUUGCACAAUAUUUCCUGGGUUAAGAAGUAGAAUACAUAAUGCCCUUCAGUUCAUUCAUUAAUUCAACUGUUUCAUUCAUUCAACUGUUUAUUGAAAGCACUUGCUAUGUGCACUGCACUGUUGACUAAGAAACAUUCUUCACAUAGCUGCUGCUUAACCUGACCUCUGAUCAAACUCCAGAACGUGACUUUAGUUGUACUCAACAAGUCAGAUUCAAAGAAGAGAAGCUUUAAAAAAUUAUUCAACAAAUACAUUCUACCAGAAACCUAAGGUUUUAGGUAAGAUGUGUUGUAUUUUGGUGAUAGGAUUUGUCCCCAGCAACAGAGUUCAGAGACUAUUCAGCUCUUAUGAAGUAGUAGGUCCCUUGAACUGGAAUCUUUCUCCAAACACUGUUUCAAACCUGCUUCAGCAGGAGGCCGUCCAUGCAAGCCUGGGCUCUCUGCUGAGUGCUGCAGGAUGUGGGAGUAUACAUUUUUUUAAUUGAUGCCAGACAAGCAGAGUAGACAUUCUAUUUUGACACUUAGGAAGACAACUUUCAUCCCUGUUUCAAUGGAAACAAUCCCACUUCAGUAAAUAGGCAGGUACAGGGGUGUCUCUGAAAAGGACCAAUAUUUUUCUUAAAAAAUGAAGAUAUUUUCAGCUGCUCAAAUGAUUCUUACCGAGUACAUGAUACAGAUGCCUUUUUCCAGAAAACAAUUCUUAAGGAUGCCAUUUGCUAAUCAUAUUCUGUAUCGAUAGGCUCUUUAAGAUAACAAAUGUAAAGCAGCACUGCAUCUUGAUACCCCCCACCAGCAUGAGUUAGAGGCAAGAGGGGUCUCGGGUCUGCUCACUGGUUUUAUGCAACGGCAUGGAACUCUCAAAUAGAGUUGUGUGUCUUCUCAUCAAGAUGUGUAAGAAUGCCUGGCACUCUGUACAGGAUGACAACAACAACACAUACCCCAUACAAAAAUAAAGUCAUCCCUCCUCGCCCCCCACAAAAGACUCAUGCCUAAGACACAUUGAAACACUGAGCCCUCGCUUUAGCUUUUUCCCCCAGAGCAAAACUUGGACAACUGGACGUGACACUGAUUUUGACGAAUGCCCAUCACAUUCCAACAAUGGCUGGCCAUGUGAAAUCACUCCGGGCUAACCAAGAGUGUACAAGUAUGUGCUCCCCACCCUCCUUCCCUAGCUCCUCAGCACCACCUGCCUUCCUCAUCCAGAAAGCAUUACUGCCCACCUUCUCAGGGAGGGGAAGCCAGAGCCCAGUCACAGUUUGUGUUAGAAGAUGGAUGUGAGAAGCUGCACUUCUUUGCCCAUCCCCGGAAUAGACGUGGUUCAAGCGUGGCAUCUGGCAAAUCUAAUCAUGUGAAGCAAAUCUACAGAAGUGCUCCAAACAGGAUGCCGGAGAGCAUUGCCCUCAGAGCCUGUUACGAUAAAUGGAGAGAGGUGUACACGCAGGCAAAGAUACCAAUUACCCAAGCUGGCAUGUGCCCAGCUCAGAACAACUAACACACCCUAAAUGUGUAAAUAAUCACCCUCAAUAUUUUAAUGAUCUCAGUAAUUGAGAAUUGUCUCUUUUUCCCACCCAUUUCACCUCGAAAAUAGCACUCCCUACAAUCCAGUCUCUAUUAGCAAUCUGCUGAGACAUUAAUUGGAUAUUGACCCAAAGAAAUGUCUACUACCUGUAGCAUCACUACAACGCUCAAUCGAAAACCAGCUCUAAAUUUGAGAUGCAGCUAGUAAAGAAUUCCAUCUCACCUCUUUGAUGAUAAUUUUAACUGCUCGUACUUGGAAGCCAAAGGAUUUUAUUUUAAAAUAAUGAUUAAAAAAAUUCAAGGCAACUGCAGUAUAAUGAAAAGGCCCUGGCUUAGCAGUCAGGAGGCCCAGCUUUCCAUUACUGCUCUGUUCUUCCGAACUCUUGUGACUAUGACUCUGGACCAUCUGUUCAUUUAUUCUUUUAUUCAACUAUUUAUUAAGUGUCUACUCUGAGCUGAGCACUGGGCCAAUUUCUAUCAGUCUUUGAUUCCUCAUCUGCUUAACAGCAAUAUUUAUAUCUACUCUAACACACAGGGUUGCAAGGAAAACGCAUAAACUUGCUUAUGUGGUAGUUUUUAGGAAACAAUAAAGCACUAUGCAAUUAUGAAGUGACUAUUACCAAAAACAUUCUAAUUUGCUUGAAUCUGCACCUGACAAGCACCUCAAGGGCUAUACAGGUAUAUGAAUAGAAUCUGUCUAUACAUAUCAUAUGUAAAUUAUGCACAAUGCUAUACUAUUAUAAGUGAGCUAUAAUAAAUGAAAUGCAAUUUGUAGAAGAGAGGGGCAAAAUAUUUGAGUGAUGGAAAGAGCAAACUUUUUUUAGAUUCUCAUAAAUUAUAAAUGGGGCCAAAAGAAAUUUACAGUUCAAAAGGCACUACAUGGAGAGAGAAAAAUUAAACAUAAUGCUUUCUGCUGUAUUUCUGGAACCAGAUUGUUGGUCAAUUAUGGGCUCCACUACUUACAGCUGCUGCCUAGGAGAAGUUACUUCAUCUUUGUGCCUCAGUUUCCUCAUCUACGAAAUGUGGUCAAUUAUAGUGCACAUCCUCUGGAAUAGCUGGUAGGAUUAAAUGGGCUAAAGUAUUAAAGUCCAGGUUAUACAGCACAUUGUAAGUCUUCCUAAGGAUGCGCUGUUUACAAUGCUGAGACUUUACCAUCUUUUAUUUUUAAGGAGGGUUAUCAGAGAUAAUAAUGCUUAUAAAUCAGUUCAGUGAAUUUAACUGUGGGCACAUAUAUAGAGUCUUAUGUCAUUUCUCUAUUCAAAUACUUACAAAGACUUCAUGUUGUCUACGAUAUACAGUCUAAGAUUAUUCAUUGGCUUUUAAAGCCCUGUAUUAUACACUUUCUGAACAUUUUUCACAACUUCUAACAUGAAUGCUACAACUCAGUUACAUCAAUUUCCCCCUCUAUUGGCUCCUUUCCAUUAGCAUAAAUAAAAACUCUACCUCCCAUCUUAAAAAAAAAAAAAAAACUCUGUUGAUCAUCUUUCUUUCUUUGUGCCCUUUUACAGCAAAACUUCUUGAAGCAAUUGUUCACAGUUGCUGUCUGGAUUUCCUGUUGCAUUCUCUCUUGAACCUAUUCUAAUUUGGUUUCAUUCCUUGCGAGUCUCCCUAAAACAGCUCAUGUCAAUGUCACUAAUAACCUGAACAUUGCCAAACCCAACUGUCAGUUCUCAGGACUUCUCUUCCUCAUCUGUUCAGCAAAAACUGACUUUCCUGGUCACUUCUUGUUUUUUGAAAUGCUUCCUUCAUUUUGGCCUCCAGAAGACUACUCUCAACUCUCCUCCAUCACUUCUCAGCCUUUUUUGCUGGUUUCUUCUUGCCAUCCUGACCUCCAAGCAUUGAUAUAACCCAGAACCCCAUCCUCAGACCUCCUAUCUUUUUAUACUAAUUCCCUAGCUCAUUUCCACCAGGCAUAAGGCUUUAAAAAUUAUCUAAGUGCAGAUUUCUAAUUUAUAUUUUCAAGUACUCCCCAUUCUCUGAAAUCCAGACACACAUCCAUCUAUUAGUUCAUUCCAUUUGUAAGACUAAAUAAUUUCUAAAUUAAUAUGUCCUGAACUCUUGAUUAUUCCUCCCAUAGCUCCUACUAUUUCCAUCUCCCUAAUCUCAGAAAAUGGAGAUUUCAUUCCAAAGAAAUCUUCCUUAAUUACUCUCUCUCAUACUCCAAAUUCAAUUUAUUAGCAAAUCCUUUCAACCCACUGUUGGAAACAUACCUAAUAUCCAACCAGAUCUCACAGCUUCCACCACUACCUAAUGCAAAGGCCCCCUUGCUUCUCACUUGGACUUCUUAUAGGAGCCUCUACACCUCUGCCCAUGUCACCCCAUAGUCCGCUCCUACACAGCAGCCAGAGUGAGCCCUUAGCAUAAGUCAAACCAUUUCACAGAUGCCCCUCAAAAUAACUAAUUGCUUUCCCAUUUCAUGUAGUUAAACUGAAUGUCUUCCACAGAGCCCCCUGUGGUGUCUUCAGUGAAGCCCUAUAUGACCUGGCUUCCUCUGACCUCAACCAUCACACUUCACCACCUCCUCCACCUCCUUUUUUGGCUUCACUCACACUGCCCUUUCUUUUCUUCCCAUACACAUACCUCCACAAGAAUAUAAGCUCCAUGAAAAUGGAAACCUGGGAGUUUUAUAAACUGCUGUCCAAAACGGUGUCUAGCACACCCCUAUAUUCAUUGAAAGAAUAGACUGAAUGAUGAAUUUCUAUCUAUCUAUCUAUAUAUAUAUAUAGUUCCAUAAAUAAUAACUCCUAUACAUUGAAUGCCAAGCACAGUGCCUACUCUAUGUCAAACCUUCAUGAAAACUUGUUAUCUCUGAUAUAUAGAUGAGGAAGCUGCAUCCAGGGAAGGUUGCAUUUCAGGUCCCAUAUCACACAGCUAUAAAGUGGUAGCACUGAGGUUUUAACAAAAUCUGUGCUCUUUUCACUAGGCCUCUAGGCAUAUAAAUAUUCCACAAUCAUUUCUAUUCCUUAAACUGGUAGUCUCACCAUAUCUGAAUGCCUCUUCCAACCCUAAAUCUCCAAUUUCUAUUACAAAUCAAUGCUUCUCUUAAUAAUUUUCUUUUUCAGCAUCCCACUCAUCUAUAUGAAUCAUUCCAAUUUGUAUCAGUGUCUCCAUUUUCAGGAUUAAAGCACUUAAAGUUUGUGAGGCACUACAAUGCUCUCAAGUACAUGUGCUUUUCCAUAAUUUUCUAAUUUGUAUGUCUGUGCUAGUAUUAUCUGCCCAAACAAAUACAAUCCAGGCCUUUAUUUUGGAGCCUACCCUGUUAUGGAAAGAAUACAAGUUAUCUGUCAGAAGCUACACCUCUCCUUGUUGCUGUUUAAAUAUUCUUACCAUCGGACAUGAGAUUAUAGAGUAGAGUCCCAUUUGCUCAGACUAAUGAAAGUCUCAUAGAUCAAUAUUUUCCUUUCUAGUCCCCUGACCCUCAGUUUCCCCCAUUUGUAAACAUAUGAGGUAUGAGGACAUACCGCAAAUGGUCACCGUUAGGUACAGAUGCUGAAAUAGAUCUUAACUAGUUUUCUAACACAGACACUGUAAGUGUUUGUGUUAACGGAUGAUUAUUUGCCUCUGAUUCCUUCCAUUCUAUGGGAAAGCCUGUCUACACUGAAGAUUCACAUUUCUUAAACACCAUUUCCUUCACAUCACUCCCUCUCCUAUGAAACCCAGCAUAGACAGCUCUCCACUAUCUACAGAGUGAAGGUUAGACUUCUUAGUCUGAUACUGAAAACUUCUCAUAACCAGACACCCCCGCCUCACUACAAGCUGAUGGUCCACAAUUCUGUAACAAACACUCCCAGACAAGAAGCUGGAGUCCCCUCUGUGCUUUGUUCCCUUGUCCAGGGAAUUUUACCUGCACCAAGCGCCCUUCUCUCCCUCACUUUUAGGUCAACAUUCUCAAUAUCCUUCAGACAUUAUGUAACUCCACUGAGAAAAGAAAGCCACCAAAGUGGAACUCUUGUUGUCUUCACAACCUCAAAUAGACAAAUCUGUUUGUGCCUGCUUUUCCCCUCUUUCCUCUGAUCAGAGUGGAGGAAAUACCACUAUUUUUAUUAAAGACCAAGGUCUCCAGCCAUGCUCAGGAUCCCCUCUUGCCUUCCCCAGACCUCUCUCCCCAAACUUCAGUCUUCUGGCCCCUCACUCUUCCCUGAGUAAUUCUAACAUUCAAACAUGUUCCAGUACAUUCCAACUGGAAUGGGGAAAGCACCUCACCUAAUUCAUUUAACCCUUGGCUUGCUUCUCUCCUCUUCCAAUAAGUCUGCCUCCAUCCUUCAGUCUAACCAAAUUUCCAUCCAUCUUUCCACCAAUAUUGUUCUGGCUAAAGUCACCAAUAACCUUGAUCUUGCCAAACUUCACGCAUCCUUCUUUGACAUCCUCGUACCUUUUGACAGUUGUCUGUUCCAUCUCUCUUGGUUUCCAUAUCUCUAUACUUCCAGCUUUCUCUCUACUUGGCUGGAGACUUUUCUCAGUCUCCCUUUUUUCUUCUCUCUCAGUUCUAAAUAUUUGGUUAGGGCUUGGGCCUGGGCCUCCUCUUUCUCUACGUUCUGCAAUAUAUCUUGAACAUAUUUACUUCUCUGCAUCUCCAUGGAAAUCAGCCCUUUUCAGGCCAUCAUCCUGGCUAGCCUAGUCCACUGGAACAGCCUCCUAACUGGGCUCUAUCUUGUGUCUCUUCCAUUAGCAGCACAGCAAGAGUGACCCUAUUAGAGAUCAAUCAGUUCACUUCACUCUCCUUUGUGAAGGCUUCCUACACACCAAGAAUAAAAUCCAACCUCUUAUAUGAUCUCCAAAUCCCUUGCAUCAUGUCACCCUCCUCUAUCUCCACUCCAUCUGGACUUGAAUAAUCUUGUGCUCCUAUCAGCAUGUUUAGUAUGUUACAGUCACAAUGGUCAAUCUUCAGUUCCUCAAAUAAGCAAAGUUCUUUCCGAUAUCAGAGCCUUUUCAUAUACUGUUCCCUCUUGAUGGAACAGCUUUCUUCCAUCUUCAUAUGCUAGUUCCUUCAACUUCAGUAUAAAUCUCACCUGCUUAGACAUUCCUCUCACAAACUCACAAUUCCAAAUGUCUUCUCCACCAUCAGUUUUCUCUAUUUGUAUUAUAUGCUUUCAUCAUCGCUCUUAUCUCAGUAGUUACUUUAUGAGUUUUUUAGGUUUGUUCGAUUUCUUUCUGUCUCUUCUAUUAGAAUAUGGCCUGGGACCAGAUCUGCCUUUUUCAACACUGUAUCUACCCUUGCACCAUGCCUAGCAUAGUGCCUGGCUCAGUGAGCACUCGGGAAAUAGGUGUAGAAUGUCAAUGGAUAUUCACAAAAAUUAAGAGUAUGUGUGAUUAUAUAGAAUACGCUUCCAUUUAUCUGAGAUAUCCAGAAUAAGUACACAUCAAUAUAAACAAAGUAGAUGAGUGGUUGCCUAGGCUUGGGGUAGAUGGGGCAGCUGCUGUAAAGUGUGGGAUUUCUUCUGGGGUGAUAAAAAUGUCCUAACACACACCAUGGUGAUAGAUGCUCAAAUCUUCAAAUACACAAAAAAAUCAUUAAACUAAGCGCUUGAAACAGGUAGAUUCUACAGUAUAUGAAUCAUGUCUCAAUUCUCCUGUUCCUGUCCCCACAAAAAAAAGAAAAACCAGUUGAUUAAUCCAUGGGUUGAUUGGGUAUUUCUUUUUUCAUAGAUAACAGAGGCACACUAGCCUGUUUUGUUUCUUUUUAUAGUAUAUAUGUAUGAUCAACAGUAAGUAAGUAUGGACUAACAUUACUAGGGCAGGCAAAAAGUAAAGAGGUACUUAUUCAAUACCUACUGCAGACCAAGAAGGUUUUUUAGAAGCAACCAAAAAGAAAAAUGCCUCAACUC